rnacentral:rRNA from 1 species
UACGGAGGGUGCUAGCGUUGUUCGGAAUCACUGGGCGUAAAGGGCUCGUAGGUGGCCAACUAAGUCAGACGUGAAAUCCCUCGGCUUAACCGGGGAACGGCGUCUGAUACUGGAUGGCUUGAGUUUGGGAGAGGGAUGCGGAAUUCCAGGUGUAGCGGUGAAAUGCGUAGAUAUCUGGAGGAACACCGGUGGCGAAGGCGGCAUCCUGGACCAACACUGACGCUGAGGAGCGAAAGCCAGGGGAGCAAACGGG